GCGACCUCAGGUCAGGCGGGGCUACCCGCUGAGUUUAAGCAUAUCAAUAAGCGGAGGAA
rnacentral:rRNA from 11 species